AUUGAACGCUGGCGGCAGGCUUAACACAUGCAAGUCGAGCGGGGAAAAGUAGCUUGCUACUUGACCUAGCGGCGGACGGGUGAGUAAUGCUUAGGAAUCUGCCUAUUAGUGGGGGACAACAUCUCGAAAGGGAUGCUAAUACCGCAUACGUCCUACGGGAGAAAGCAGGGGACCUUCGGGCCUUGCGCUAAUAGAUGAGCCUAAGUCGGAUUAGCUAGUUGGUGGGGUAAAGGCCUACCAAGGCGACGAUCUGUAGCGGGUCUGAGAGGAUGAUCCGCCACACUGGGACUGAGACACGGCCCAGACUCCUACGGGAGGCAGCAGUGGGGAAUAUUGGACAAUGGGGGGAACCCUGAUCCAGCCAUGCCGCGUGUGUGAAGAAGGCCUUUUGGUUGUAAAGCACUUUAAGCGAGGAGGAGGCUACCGAGAUUAAUACUCUUGGAUAGUGGACGUUACUCGCAGAAUAAGCACCGGCUAACUCUGUGCCAGCCGCCGCCGUAAAAC
rnacentral:rRNA from 1 species